AGGCUCGGGGGCGGGCGAGCGUUAUCUGCUCACCCCGGACGGGUCGGCGAGGAGCUCGGGGUUUCCUUCUCUCCCUCUUGUAAAUCUCUACUCAGUCCUGCGGAGAACCUGGCCAGUCGUCCAAGGAGAACCCGACGAAGCUUCCCUCGAGGGACAGCAGGUCUAGGAAGGAUCUUGUGCUUUUGGAAAAGCCGAAAAACACUAGUGUUAAAAUCAACUGAAACCUGAUGGUUGGGGAAGUCGUUUGCUUGGAGCAGAGAAGCACAUCUGCCAGCUUCUUGACCAGGCUUCUCAAACCCGCAUCGGAGGAACCUAAUUCCUGAGCCACUGAGAAGUUCCGUGGUGCAACUUUGCUUGCUUUUUCGCAUCACUCAUGGCUAGCUUAGCAUUCAGCUUUCUUAGGUCUACAAAUGAGUUGUCGCUCGUAACUGCUUUCAGCUUCUAAACCUUUCCUGCUGUUGUUUUGGCUCCUAUCAUCCUUGUCCUUCUGGGUUUAUGCCUUUGUAUAUAACAGUCUUUACUGUUUUAGUGGGAUUUUGUAGUUUUUUCUUCCAAAAUUUAAAAAUUCUAGUUAGUUAACAUAUAGUGUAUUAGUUUCAGGAGUAAGAUUUAGUGAUUCAUCACUUAGACCUAAAACCCAGUGCUCAUCGUAACAAGUGCUCUCCUUAAUACCCAUCACUCAUUUAGCUCACUUCCCACCUAAGUCCCUCCACCAACCUGGUUUGUUCUUUAAGAGUCUCUUAUGGUUUGCUUUCCUCUCUCUUUUUCUUCUUAGUGGGAUU
rnacentral:lncRNA from 1 species